CCGCCAUUUUUAGAGCGUGAGGUGCCCAGUGAUCCGACUGACGAGUCCCGGCGUAGUGCGACUCCAGCCGCUCAGGGUUCUGCGACGUACAUUAACUACAGCCGCACUUUGGCCGUCACCACCCAACACACCGACGAUGUCCUCAUGAAACUCGACCUGGUGGGGAUAACUGAAAAGAAAAUAAGAGUCACAAGUGGUCCCAAGGCUUCCAGUUUCUGAUUCCAUCAAGAGCGUAGCCAGAGAGAGGAGAGGGGAGCAGAGACUCCUGGGGCCUGCCUACAGCCCGGAGCCUCGCUGGACUUGAACCCCGAAGACACGACGCUGUGAUGUCAAGGCGGCCAGAUGGUCGAAACAGGCCCUGAUGCCCCCCGCGCGCUCUUGGUCCUGCGGCCCGCCACCACCGCCCUCCAGGAGUGUAGCUGACUGCAGCCCGAAGCCGCUGAGCGCAGAGCGAGCCGAAUGGAAGGACAGCGCAGGCCUACGUAACGCCCUGGUGCCCUUCAGAGAAGACAUAGGACCUCCAAGGGUCUUCUUGUCGUUCGUCGACAGACUUUUGAGGGCCGUUUAUGUAUUCCAAAGUGUACAGGAGGCCAAAAAAUUUUACAAGAUAAAAUUUAAAGAGGGAAAGGAAAGAACUUUUAAAAGAGUGGGCAGAGGGGCUGAGGAAUGAAUGAACUUAGGCAAAUCAAAGUAACUGCAGGUCUCGUUUCAUUUUCUAGAUCUGCGCUGUCCCACAUGGCAGCCACUAGCCACAGCCACGUGAAAUGUGGCUAGUCCGAAUUGAGUUGUGCUGUGAAACACACAUGGUAUUUUGAAGACCUAGCAUGAAAAAAAUAUGUAUUGAUUACAUGUUUAAAUGAUAAUGUGUUUUGAUAUAUUGGUUUAAAUAAAAAUGCCUUA